AUUGAACGCUGGCGGCAGGCCUAACACAUGCAAGUCGAGCGGAUGAAGGGAGCUUGCUCCUGGAUUCAGCGGCGGACGGGUGGGUAAUGCCUAGGAAUCUGCCUGGUAGUGGGGGAUAACGUCCGGACACGGGCGCUAAUACCGCAUACGUCCUGAGGGAGAAAGUGGGGGAUCUUCGGACCUCACGCUCUCAGAUGAGCCUAGGUCGGAUUAGCUAGUUGGUGGGGUAAAGGCCUACCAAGGCGACGAUCCGUAACUGGUCUGAGAGGAUGAUCAGUCACACUGGAACUGAGACACGGUCCAGACUCCUACGGGAGGCAGCAGUGGGGAAUAUUAGACAAUGGGCGAAAGCCUGAUCCAGCCAUGCCGCGUGUGUGAAGAAGGUCUUCGGAUUGUAAAGCACUUUAAUUGGGGAGGAAGGGCAGUAAGUUAAUACCUUGCUGUUUUGACGUUACCAACAGAAUAAGCACCGGCUAACUUCGUG
rnacentral:rRNA from 1 species